GGCCUUCUUCGCGGCGGAGCUCGACCGCCAACCCCGGUACUGAUCGAGUUCAUCGACCAGCAUCGCGAUCUGUACGGAGUCGAGCCGAUCUGCCGGGUGCUCACCGAGCACGGGUUCAAGAUCGCUCCG
rfam:Nocardioides sp. JS614, complete genome.